CCUACGGGAGGCAGCAGUGGGGAAUAUUGCACAAUGGGCGGAAGCCUGAUGCAGCGACGCCGCGUGAGGGAUGACGGCCUUCGGGUUGUAAACCUCUUUCAGCAGGGACGAAGCGAGAGUGACGGUACCUGCAGAAGAAGCGCCGGCCAACUACGUGCCAGCAGCCGCGGUAAGACGUAGGGCGCGAGCGUUGUCCGGAAUUAUUGGGCGUAAAGAGCUCGUAGGCGGCUUGUCGCGUCGACUGUGAAAACCCGCGGCUCAACCGCGGGCCUGCAGCCGAUACGGGCAGGCUAGAGUUCGGUAGGGGAGACUGGAAUUCCUGGUGUAGCGGUGAAAUGCGCAGAUAUCAGGAGGAACACCGAUGGCGAAGGCAGGUCUCUGGGCCGAUACUGACGCUGAGGAGCGAAAGCGUGGGGAGCGAACAGGAUUAGAUACCCUGGUAGUCCACGCUGUAAACGUUGGGCGCUAGGUGUGGGGGACCUCUCCGGUUCUCUGUGCCGCNGCACGCAGUAGCGCCCGCCGUCGGGAGGACGGCCGCGAAGGACGUAAACGUUAAAGUUAGUAAGUUAGUUACGGCGUUGAGACGUGCCGACGGACGACGACGAGGGAGGAGG
rnacentral:rRNA from 1 species